UUUACGUAGUCCUGGCGUCACGGAUAAAACGACUGGCGGACGCGACAUAAGACACGCAAGUCACGGACUUAACUCAUCUUUUAGAUUGAGAGCGGUUAGUGCGGACUGGUGAGUAACACGUAAGCAACCUGCCUAUCAGAGGGGAAGUAACAGUGAGAAAUCAUUGCUAAUACCGCAUAAGCUAGUAGUAUCGCAUGAUAUAGCUAGAAAAGGAGCAAUCCGCUGAUAGAUGGGCUUGCGUCUGAUUAGCUAGUUGGUGGGGUAACGGCCUACCAAGGCGACGAUCAGUAGCCGGACUGAGAGGUUGAACGGCCACAUUGGGACUGAGAUACGGCCCAGACUCCUACGGGAGGCAGCAGUCGGGAAUAUUGCGCAAUGGAGGAAACUCUGACGCAGUGACGCCGCGUAUAGGAAGAAGGUUUUCGGAUUGUAAACUAUUGUCGUGAGGGAAGAAAUUGACAGUACCUCAGGAGGAAGCUCCGGCUAACUAUGUG
rnacentral:rRNA from 1 species